CAGAUGUCUCCUGAUGGUGCUGCCUGUCAGUUGGAUGGUCUGUCCUUAGGCAGCAAUUACAAGAGAACGUGUUAUGAUAAGAGGGCUCCCCCAGUCAGCAUGUCCAAGCUGCUGAGUCAUGGUUAUGUGGAGGAGAAGAAGAAGUCUCCCAAUGACGACGAUGCCUCAAGUGUGACCUCAGAACAGAGCAGCACCAUCGUGACGGAGGUGGACGAUCUGGAGUAGUGUGCACAGGUCCUAGUCUGGAGGGAGAAGGGGGGUGCCGUCCUAACACUGGUUCAUGGUGUCGCAAAUCCACGAACACUCCGCCCGUCACAGGAUUCACUCACAUUAAUUGUACAUCCACUGACUCUUAGGUUUUGUACUCAUGUUUAUGCAAAAGGUACCGUCCUAUCUGUUUUGCUUUAAUUUAUAAAAUAGGAACUCACACAGGUUUCAUUGAGUAGACGUGUCGGUGCUCGCAGUAAUUUUUUCCGUUCAGUGUUAUCGUUUCUCGGUUUGAAAGACGAGUUGUGCACAGGGCAGGAAACUAACAUUUUGGUUCUGUUUAUUUUACCAGCUAGUUAAAUUUUAGAACUUAAAACAAGAUACAGCCUCACCUGCUAAAUCCUAAAGUCUCAUGGGUUUGGCUGGUAGCUGUAGUUAGUUUCCCUCCCUGGUUGUAUGAAGUUUGAGUUAGUGAAUUUUUAAGAAGUGUUUGUGCUAAUGAUUUGUGGUGCCAGUGACGUGAAACAUAAUUUGUUUUGAUCAAGGGCUCCUGCUUUCUGAAGGGACGUUAGAGGUAUGCGUGUUUGCGGCUGCGGCGGUCGAUAUGAUCAUUUGUUGAGACAGCAACCCCGCAGCUAUGACCACAUGCCAAAGGGCAGACUGAUGGCCAAAGCCGCGGCGGUUUGUGUGGUAAAAAAGGUCCAGACAUGAUUUUUAAGUUGCUGCGCUGCAGAAGGUUGCUCUACUCUGCUUCUUCCCCACAAAUUUUUUUUAUUUAAAUAGUGAAACAUGCAGUGGUUUAAUUUGUUGGUGGAUUUUUUUGUCCAGUAAUCAGAUUAAAAGCGCAUUACAAAGAAAAUGCAUCUGGUAAAAAAAGGACAAAAUUGAUUGAUUAACUCAAGUGACAUUUGCAAGUUUCAAUUAGAAAAACCAGCAUGUGAUGCAAAUUCCAUUCUCUCAUCAGUGCUAAUAAAUUAGGAAGCUCAUAAGUAAGACAAUAACUGUGCCAAGCCCUGGAUGCUGGUCCAGAUGUGUCAGACGCUUGCUAGCGAGAGUUCAAAACUUCUUGCAUUCUGCAAGUUAAAAUGUUGCUGUUUGCAACAACGGAUUAAAACAUUCUGGGAAGUUGUAGAAAAGAAGCCGCCUUCUGCAGCCCGACGACCCGAAAACCAAUUCCAGUGUAAUGCCCUGUGAAGAUUAGAGGAGUUUUUGAAAAGUGAGUUCUGAACAUGCCAACCAAGCAGUUUUUUCCCUGCACACAUGCAGUGUUUUGACCUAGUAGACUCCAGUAGGAGAAGUUAGUUAGUGCACAGCCUGGUCACACCAAACCCGCCAUCUCAUGACGUGUUUUUCUGCCGGAUAAACAUUUUCUGUUCAGAUUAGAGAGUUAAUUAAUGCUGCAUCAUUCUUGCAUAUAAAAACUUCACAAGCAACUCUGAGUACUGCAGCAGCUGCAUGUGAAUGAAUCCAGCCCAGACUGUUACCUGCAUGUCAUCUUCAGUCUCUCUUUCCUGCCUUUCCACUGUCACUAUCAUAAUAAAGGCAAAAAUGCCAGAAAAAAAAAACUAAAAACUUCACAACCAUACUUUGAAGCAGUGAAAAAUAGAUUUCCUGGUGUUUGAGUGAUCACAAACAAUUGAGUUUGUGGUGUGAUUCAAGUCCCCAUUUUCCCCUGAAACAAACAUACACAAAGCCUAAUGGGUGCAUUAAAUUCCUAAAUAAAAGCCAAAUCAAAAAUACCUUAGUUCAAAUAUCUUUAAAAAACUUAGGUGUCAUAAUGUCACUAAUAUUACCCAGUUUAAAACAAAAGAAGGUCAAGAUUGAUGCCACUUUAAAAAUAUCCUUUAUAUUAAGUUAACCUAUAUUUCAAGUCAAGAAAUAGAAGCUGGGAAAUAUCUUAAGUUGCAAUUAACACACGGAAUUAGCAUCAGUCUAAUGUUUAUAAUGUGUAAAUACUUUAUGAAUAGUAAGAUAUGGACUGAAAUAGAAACAAAAAUACAUUCUACAGAUUUUAAAUACCACAUAAACCAAUGCAGACGACAAGGAUGCAUGAAAAUGGUUAACGGCAGAUGUAUUUGUGGUGUCUAUCCAUUUUACUUCUGCAGGUCUUAAAAAGCACUGAACUUAGUUUGCUUCAGAGCACAUUAAAGAGUCCUAAAUAUUUCCUGUUGUCUACUGACAGCUGUCGUGUUAGUUGUUUAAAUCGUAUUGAAUCUUGUUUCUGGCUGCCAGGAGAUGUAAAUCUUAUGUGAAGCACCAUCACAACUGCAGCCAACACUCACUACUGCAGCUACAGUAGUGAGGAGGCUCUUCAUCUCCUCAAGGGCACUUUCCAGUUUUUGGCAAAAAUCGUUUCAAACAUCCAUUUUUAGGUUUGGUUUCUCUAAAUAAGAUCAACUAUAGAAUAUGGAAUUGUAGUUAUACUCUGCUGAAAACGGUGCAAUACAAAGGUACUGAUAUCAUUCCAUCUGGUUCUUCAUACUUUGCGCUGGAUGACUGAAAAAUAAGUAUUAAAUUUAGUUUUAUGUGUUUCUGAAAACUUCUUAAAAAGUAUUAAAUAAGUUGUCGAGCCCUACAGAAACCCCAGUGAGAGAUGUGGCUUCUGAAACACUUUAACAACCUUUAGUGUUACUGAACAAAUUAAUAGUGGUCAAAGCAGUGAAGUAAAUUUAACCCCCAAUCUUUUAAGUUCAAUUUAGAGCCCUGCUCUAUUGCAGAGUGCUCUCAGAGUUGCCCUUGGUGUCUCCAACUCCUCCUCGGCUGCUUGCUGAUGCGAUUGCACUUUGACAGUUUGGCCUUGAGUCAUCUAACAGUUAUUUUUGAAAAGUAGCUCCAAAAACAGCGUGCGACAGUAACUCCUAAAAAUCCUCAUUCUGCCGGGACAUUUUUCUGGUGAAUGAAACGCUCUUAAAUAGAAAAGGACGAGUCUAAGAUUUUAAGCUCCGAGUUUGUCCCAAUAAAUCCAAACCCAUUCACACCGCGUCACUAAAUGAUGCAGCAGUAACGCACUCUCAUUGGAAACGGCUUUAGUUGAUGUCAUGUUCAGCACAACAUUCUGUUUGUCACUUUUCUCCGCACAAUAUAUAUUUAAGCAGUGAUGCAUAAUUCAUCUGUAUUAUCUGUAGUAUUAAAAAGUGUUGUUCUAAAACUAUAGACGCUUUACUGUGCUUAGUGACACUGGUUCUUAUUUUGCAGUACAAGGAAGGGAGAAUGUAUCAUCUUUGGAUAUAGUUUGCUUCAAGGAACGGGUUUAUUUCUUUUAACUGUUAAAUAUUCAGGUACAGUAUUUACGUUUUAAAACUUAAUCCUCCUCUCUCUGUGGGUUGGUGCCGUUAUCAGUUUAUAUACCUGUAGUUGGAAACUUUUAUUGGCUUAACUUUUCCAACUCCUCCCCUGAAAUGUCAUUACUCUUGAUUUUUACUUGCAAGUGUUAAACUCUCCUCUACAAGAGAGUGAAGAUUGUGUUCGUUGUGAGGAAAAAGAUACACCUUAAUGUAAGACCAAGCUCAAUUUGAUGACUGCACACAGACUCUAUAUCAUUCCAAUAAAUGGGCAUGUGCAUGUAAA